rnacentral:rRNA from 1 species
UACGGAGGGUGCAAGCGUUGUCCGGAUUUAUUGGGUUUAAAGGGUGCGUAGGCGGUUCUUUAAGUCCGGGGUGAAAGCCCACUGCUCAACAGUGGAACUGCCCUGGAAACUGGCGAACUUGAGUACAGACGAGGAUGGCGGAAUGGAUGGUGUAGCGGUGAAAUGCAUAGAUACCAUCCAGAACCCCGAUUGCGAAGGCAGCUGCCUAGACUGUAACUGACGCUGAGGCACGAAAGCGUGGGGAGCGAACAGG